rnacentral:ncRNA from 1 species
CUCAUCAAGAGUGGCGGAGGGAAUAGGCCCUAUGACGCCCGGCAACCUGCCUUUAAGGCAAGGUGCUAAAUCCUACAGAGCGAUCUGAAAGAUGAGG